rnacentral:rRNA from 1 species
UACGGGGGGGGCAAGCGUUGUUCGGAAUUACUGGGCGUAAAGGGCUCGUAGGUGGCCAACUAAGUCAGACGUGAAAUCCCUCGGCUUAACCGGGGAACUGCGUCUGAUACUGGAUGGCUUGAGUUCGGGAGAGGGAUGCGGAAUUCCUGGUGUAGCGGUGAAAUGCGCAGAUAUCAGGAGGAACACCAAUGGCGAAGGCAGCUCGCUGGGACGUGACUGACGCUGAGACGCGAAAGCGUGGGGAGCAAACAGG